rnacentral:rRNA from 1 species
CCUACGGGAGGCAGCAGUGAGGAAUAUUGGUCAAUGGGCGCGAGCCUGAACCAGCCAAGUAGCGUGAAGGUUGACUGCCCUACGGGGUGUAAACUUCUUUUAUCAAGGAAUAAAGUGAUGCCCGUGUGCCUUUUUGGAUGUACUUUAUGAUUAAGGAUCGGCUAACUCCGUGCCAGCAGCCGCGGUAAUACGGAGGAUCCGAGCGUUAUCCGGAUUUAUGGGGUUAAAGGGGCGCGUAGAUGGGUUGUUAAGUCAGUUGUGAAAGUUUGCGGCUAAACCGUAAAAUUGCAAUUGAUACUGGCAGCCUUGAGUACAGUUGAGGUAGGCGGAAUUGGUGGGGUAGCGGUGAAAUGCUUAGAUA